GUUAAUGUAGCUUAAACAGUAAAGCAAGGCACUGAAAAUGCCUAGAUGAGUGUACUAACUCCAUAAACA
rnacentral:tRNA from 1 species